UACAGAGGUCCCAAGCGUUGUUCGGAUUCAUUGGGCGUAAAGGGUGCGUAGGUGGCGCUGUAAGUCGGGUGUGAAAUUUCGGAGCUUAACUCCGAAACUGCAUUCGAUACUGCGUGCUUGAGGACUGGAGAGGAGACUGGAAUUAGGUGUAGCGUGAAAUGCGUAGAGAUCAUGAGGAAGACCAGUGGCGAAGGCGGGUCUCUGGACAGUUCCUGACGCUGAGGCACGAAGGCCAGGGGAGCAAACGGG
rnacentral:rRNA from 1 species